AAUUGAUUCGCUAGAAUUAAGACCGUUAAUGCCAUUUAAAUUGAUUGAAUUAGGCUGCAAGGGUUUCAGUUGUAAAGGUUAUUAGAGCUAAGAUUGAGGUUUUUGAUAAACAUGCAUUUCGGAAAAUUUUACAUUUUGCUACUAGUUCUGGUCUUCUCAUUAGACUUUGUAAGGAGUGACGAAUAUGACGAUGCAAUCAAUGAUGACGCUGAUGAAGGAGUCGAUGAUGACGCAGGGGUCGCAGACGAUGCUGGCGGAGAUUUAGCUGCUGCAAAUGAUGAUGCGGUGGCAGAAGACGACGCAGUAAAUGAUGAUGCGAUGACAAAUGGCGCAGUAAAUGCAGAUUUAAUUGAAGCUGAAGGCGUAAACUAUGAUGAAGGUGCAGUAUCGAGCGACGUUGGGGGGAAAACAUGUGUAGGAGGAACAUACAUCAAGGUCGACUGCAACAUUUGCUUUUGCUACAAUUCACAUAUACAAGGCUGUACCCUAGUUAACUGCGCUGGAUUGGUAGGUAUGGAGACAUUGUCAAGCAAUCCGGCCAAAAGACUAGCAUUCAAGAAGUUACGCGACCGUGCAACUGGUUGCAUUCCUGGAGAGACGAUAAAAAUCGGAAAUUGUGAGUGCAGUUGUACCAUACCCAGCGUCCUGACGUGCCCUAAAACCUGCCUUCGAACUUAACGUGCCCUAUUUUUGAUAUGACCGCAAAAUUAGGGUAGUUAUAGUUUAAGCCAUAAUAAACACAACUUCAUGGGACUAAAAUAUUCGACUCUUAUUUUUCCUUGAAAAAAAAAAAAAAUUCAGCAAGCAAUAUUUUGUUUUUACUCGAAAUAUCGGAUUUACUGACGCAACUCGUGUCGAUUUAAAACACUCCCUUCGGCCGUGUUUCAAUUUAUCGCCACUCGUUGCGAAUUUCCUACUUUUCGCAUAUAUCGUAAUGUACUAUUUUCAAUGUAUUUCUGGGCUACCCUCUACAAUUAUUGUGACGUAAAAUUACCACUACCCACGCUAAAUGCAACUCAAAACUUGGGUAAUUGGUAUAAGAGCGCAUUUUUUAAAUUUGAUUUGACUUUCAUGUUGUUUUUCUCUUUUUGUAGGAUUCCGUACCCAAAGGGUGAAAACGGGACCCUAUUACUAAGACUCCACUGUCCGUCUGUCUGUCACCAGGGUGUAUCUCAUGAACCGUGAUAGCUAGACAGUUGAAAUUUAAUUUUAUACAAAUGGUGUAUUUCUGUUGCCGCUAUAACAACAAAUACUAAAAAGCACGGAACCCUCGGUGGGCGAGUCCGACUCGCACUUGUCCGGUUACUAGGCACAGCGCCUACAGCAGGCAGGCUCUUAUUACUAGGUACAGCGAAUUGCAAAAUUGCAUGGACAUUGGACACAUUUUAGAUGAAAUUCAUUCAUUCACUUUUGCUGCUAAGUAUAUACAUACAAGCGAGAUAAGUAGGGUCAUUGCGCUAGUUUCCGUCCAUGGUCUAGUUUUCGUCCACAUGACAGAUUCGCAAAUAAUAUAUUUAUAUUUUUAAUUUUCUAUAUCUAUGUUUUGACGUUAAGGAUUGCAAUACGUACAAAUUUGUGCACUAAUGUAGGUUUAUAUUCCAAUUUCGUCAAGUGGACGAAAACUAGAGCUGGACGAAAACUAACACACCUACCCUAAGUAUAUGUAUUGGAAAUCAUACCAAGUGAAUGAAGUUUUAAAUCAUCAUUCGCCACCCUUACCAAUGAAAAUAGUCCUUCAUUAUAGGAAGACUUUUCAAAUUACGAUGAUCGGAACUUGACGUGCGAAUCUAAAGGCAAAACUGAUUUUAAUUAAGAAAUUUAAUUGAUUCGAUUGAAUUAAGAUUGCUAUGGCGUUUAAAAUUGAGGGAAUAAUGUUGUAAGUGUUUCAUUUGUAAAGUUAAUCGGGUUUUGAUUGGGGUUUCUGGUAAACAUGCAUUUUGGAAAGUUAAAUAUUUUGCUUCUAGUUCUGGUCAUCUCAUUAGACUUUGUACGGAGUGAAGAAGACUAUGCCCCUGCAAUCCCUGAUGACGCUGAUGAAGGGGUCGAUGAUGACGCAGGGGUCGCAGAUGACACUGGCGGAGAUGUAGCCGCUGCAAAUAAUGAUGCGGUGGCAGAUGAUGACGCAGGGGUCGCAGAUGACGCUGGCGGAGAUGUAGCCGCGGCAAAUAAUGAUGCGGUGGCAGAUGAUGACGCAAGGGUUGCAGAUGACGCUGGCGGAGAUGUAGCCGCGGCAAAUAAUGAUGCGGUGGCAGAUGAUGACGCAGUAAAUAACGCCAUGACAAAUGAUCCCGUAAAUGGGGAUAUAAUUGAAGCUGAAAAUGUAAAUCCUGUAGAUCCUUUUGAAGACAUGAAAGAUCGAAAUCCAGCGCACACAUGUGUUCCUGGAACACAUUUCAAGAUCGACUGCAACUAUUGCUUUUGCUACAAACCAAAUAUACAAAGCUGUACCUUUAUAAGAUGCGUACAUGGAGACGUGAAACUGUCAAGCAAUCCGGCCAAAAGACUAGCAUUCAAGAAGUUACGAGAACAUGCAACUGGUUGCAUUCCUGGAGAGAAAGUUAAACACCAACUCACGAAUUGUGAAUGCACUUGCACGAUACCCAGCGUCCUGACGUGCCCCGAAAACUGCCUGCGAUAGAAGUUGAGGAUCAUUUCGAGGUCAAACUGCGAAUCAAUAUUUACUACACAUGACUAUUUAUGGACCUCAUGAAUUGAAGAAUAAAUUAUCCGAACCAUCAUCUA